AAAUUUGGAUGCUUCUAAUAAUGCUGAUGGUACUACUGCAGGGUGGAUUAUUAGAAAUAUGAAUGGUCAUUUGUGCUUUGUGGCCACUAGAAAUCUUGAUGCAGCUUCCAUUGUUCUGGCGGAGUAUAAUGGUCUAAGAGAUGGUUGCUUUUUUUUCCUAGUCAGCAUAGUAUUCGAUGCAUUGGACAACUUUCCUAGAAAAAAUAUAGAUAAUUUUUUUAUGUAUUUUUGAGGAUGAGGCUAGAGGAGUGUAUCUCAAUGUUGUAAGACACGUUUAAAUUCUGUUUCUGUUCACCAAAAAAAAAAGGAUGUUAUUGCCCAUAGUAAAUUAAACCAAGCAAGGGGAGACAACUAUUAAACUAAUUUCCUUCUAGAAACCUGUCAACUUUGUGAGGAUUAUGGUGCUUUUUGUAUGCAACACUUGCACCAAUGUUCUUGCUGCUACGACCAAAAGAAUAACACAGCAAAUCUUACCCCACAAAAGACUUGUGUUCUAAAAGAAUAUGAUGUUAUCUCCAAUCUUCUUUGCUAUUAUAUUUGAUAAUUUGCUAUGCUACCAGAAACUCCACUUGCAUUACAAAAAAAAUGAACAUUUUCCAUUUCAUCAUAUUUUGGCUUUGGUUGCUCCUUGUCUUCAUCUCCAAACUCUGGAUUUCACCCAAUAAGAAUUGUCUCCUUUCUUAUCUACAAGUGAAAGAUCAAAUUUUUGAUGUGCUAUCUGGUUUUGGAGGAUUUACAGCCUGCAGUUUUGCAUUCUAAACCUUGUUGUUCCUUCUCUUUUCCAUCCUUACCACAUAGAUAAUUCUUAUCGUCAAUGAUAAAGCCCUGCUCAUUCUUUUAGGGCUGUUUGGUUGCUUUGAACAAUCUGAAAUGUCUCAUAACAAGUGGUAUAAGAGUUAAGAUUGUUAUACCUAGAAUGACAACAAAAGUUGAGGUUUAGAAGUUUAAUGGAAGAAAUAAUGCGGUAUUUUGUGUAGUUGCAAAAGAGGAUACAAUUGUCAAAUUAUGGUUGAAGUCGGGAAGUCUGUAUAUGACAGGGUCUUACAAAUUGUUAGUAUUUGAAGAAGCUAUUGUUCACUCUCCAAAUGGAAGAAGGUACACCCACUAAAGACCACCCUAAUGAAUUCAAUAAAACUAUUAUGGAUAUGAAGAAUAUUGAUGAUGGGAUCAAACCAUAAUUUUAAUGCAUCUACCAAAUUCUUAUGAGCACUUCUUGGAUGCCAUGACGUAUGGUAGAGAUAGUGUCUCUAUAGGAGAUGUUAAGUCAACCUUAAGCUCAAAAGAAUUGAAAAAUAAUUAUAUUUGAGAGUAAAGAAGGGAGCUUUGGUGGCUAGAGAGAGAACAUGAAAGAAAAAUAACAGUGAUGUGGUAGUUGCAAAGGAAGAUUUAGAUAUUGUAGAUGCCCCUUCAAUUACUUCAGUAACUUAAGUGAUAAGUGAAUCCUUAAUCCAAGAUGCUCAUAUUUCUCCCAAUAAGAAUUGGUUUAAUAUUUACCUACCUAUAGAUGAUGGGAAGUUUCUUAUGGAAAACAAUAUAGCUUGCAAGGUUAUUGGGAUAGGUACAAUUUGAAUUAAGAUGCGUGAUAACAUUAUAAGGAAUCAAUUGAUGUAAGGUAUGUUCUAGAGUUGAGGAAAAUUUUGAAAUUUCGGCUACACUUGAUUCCAAUGGGUGUACAUAUAAAGUUGAUGGUAGAGUUUUGAGAAUUUUAAAGGGUGCUCUAGUUGUGAUGAUAAGAUAAAAAACUAAUGGUCUUUAUAUGUUUAGGAUAGCAUGGUUAGAGGUGACUAUAGUUCCAAUCUCGAAAUCAAUUUCAUGUAGUACCUAAUUAUGGCAUAUGUGGUUUAGACAAUUGCGUGGGAUAUAUAUAUUUUUUUCCUUACAAACAGGAAAAAAAGAUAUAUUAAUAGUGCCUAUGAACAAGAGCACACUAGAGUACAUGGGUCAUAUAAGGGGUACUGAAGGCAAAAUCAAAACAAAGAAAACAAAAACAAAAAAUCAACAAACACUCCCCUUAUAUAAUGCCAAACCAAUUGACUAAGUCUACCAUAGACAUUGUUGUUUCUUUUAAUCCUACCCUGAUUCACUCUAAAACUAGACAUCAGAAAGAGACUUUUAGUGCUUGAUCUAUUCCUUCCAUGUCCUUGAAGAACCUCUUAUUUCUCUUUUUCCAAACAAUUUAAAAAAUGCAUAAGGGGGCAACCUUCCAUGCUUUUAUUCUUUUCCCUACAAAGGAUCCCUCUCAACUUAAGAGAGCCUCUUUGCUUGAAGCUAGCAUCACCUAUUCUACGCCAAACAAUGAUAAGACUAGCCGCCACAAGCUACUUCUCUUGGUACAAUAAAGCAACAGGUGGUCUGCUGAUUCUUCCUUAUUUUUACAUAAGAAGUAUUCCUCAAGGUUUAACAUCUCUUUUUCAAUUGUUUGGUGGGAAGGAUCUUGCCCUAAAUCUCUUCCCAGAAAAAUCCCACUUUUGUUGGUACCAUUGGGUUCAAAUAAUAUCUUUUGGAAAGAGAGAUCCUAUCUCCUUAACAUCAAAUACGAGUAUAGGGAUUUUGCUAAAAGCAUAACCAUCCUAUCCCCAUGAUCCUUGCUUACCACUUUUGUUUGCAAUCUUAAGAGGAAUUCAUCCAUUCUUUCAAGGUUCCAGUCAUGUACUGUCUAACAAAACAAGGGCUCCAACAUCCCUUUUAUCCUUUUUUCUCCCACACACCACUACUCAAGAGUCCUUUGCAAUUUAAGCAAAUGUGUUUUUCUUGGUGGGUGAAAAACAAGAGAAUUAUGGGAAAUUAUGUAUGAUGAACCUUUGUAUAAUUAUUCACAAGACUAAAAUUACAUUAGCUUGUAUUUAUUUAGAUCUUUGGGCCCUUUCUCAUGUUGAAGACUUUUGAAAGAGCCAUGGUGAAAAAUUCAAGAGAGCCUAAGUCUGAGAUUUGUGGAGAAUCCUAAGGUGAAGAUUAUGGAAGAGCUAACAUUGGGAAAUCUUUAAGAGGUCCAGACAAAGAUCUUUUGGAGACUAAGGAGAACAUAAUGCUCAAGAGGAUUGACAAAGAAAUUUUGGUUAAAAGGUAAAGUAAGUCUUUCUCUUAUUGGAUUGUAAUACAUGAAGAAUGUACUUUGUUACCCAGAAUAAGUAAAGUCUUUCCUUUACUUAUAGAUUUAACUGGAUCAUUGUUAAUUGAUGCAAUAAUUUUAUAGAUUAUGUCAUUAUCUAUAGUUAAUAAUUUAUGGCUUAAAUUAUAUUGAAAUAUAAGGAAGGAUAUGGUUUAUACAAGUUCAGGUUUAAUUUUAUUUGGAUCUGGCUGGAUGUGAAUUCUCAAUGGGCCCUAAAUUGAAAUAGAGUGGAUCUGGAUCCUGGUUUUAUGGGUCAGACUGGAUUCAGAUCUGGACUCAAGUCCAUGCAUAAAAAUAUGGAUUGAGAGUCUGAUCCAUGUGAUUUUGCUGUAGAUUUGUUCCAUUUCAUGCCCUAGCAUUGCUUGAUGAGUCAACUGCAUCAAAGAUCAUUAUGAGUUGGAUCAGUUUUAACCUUGAGUUCAUUAUCUUAUUCCUCCAUUCACUGCAUCAGGAUUUCCUUUUUCUCCAGAAGCAGCUCCAGUAAAUGUCUUUUAGAAUUAAGUGGAAUGAGAUACUAAGGUUUUCUUUUUAUGCGUUUUCCUCUGUGUUUGUUGUGAAAUGAAAUAGGUUUGUACUUGAGUAUUGACUUAUAGGAAGGGGAAUGUAUGGUCAAUUGCUAUCCACACACUCAUUGAAAUUAUUACGUGAAUAGCACCAUUUAAUGUUUUGAUCAGUGUACUAAAAUUUUUCUUCUUUGUAUGUUAUUGAACAUGUUGAAGCAUUAGCAUCUAGUCCCAAGUUUGAGCAUCAACUUCUCAUGGUCAUGUUGUCAUUUUCCAAUAAAUACUUGGCAACUGCUCUUUUAAAUUACAAACACAGACUCCUGACAUUUUUCUCCUCAAUAUAAAUUACAAAUAACCCUUCAGACCUUAGUUCCUGUGAAUGCUAUGAAAGCCAGAAAUGGCAUUAGUGCCAUUCUACUCAUAAGGUGUAAUUUCUGCAAAUGUAGGCUUCAAAUACUACAUGUGGCUGAAAAUUGCUCAUGCCAUACUGACUGUUUUGUUGACUGAAUCAGUGUAUGUUGUACUUGGCUUUCAAUUGUUGUGUUUGUCCUUUUCCUCUCUGCACUUUUCACACAGCAUUUAUUUGUUUACUUUUAAAGCUUGCAAUUGUUACUGCAAGAUGAGAUGAUGUAUGAUCUGCCUCCAAUUACAACAUCAUGAGUGCUAUUAAUGGAAAUGCUGUUCUUUUACUAAUUAAUAUUACAGAACCCUUAGUUGUUGGAUCCUUUAAUGUUAUUAUAGUCCUUUUCAGAAUGCUAGUCAAACCCUAACAUUUGCAACUUUAUCUUUCUUUAGAUUUCCCCUAAAUUACCUUCCAAAUUUCUGCAGGUUGGGACGAUAACUCUUCUGGCCUUGACUGGAUUGCUAGUCUUUAUGCUUUUCUUUCUGGCAGCAACCUUUAAUGCUAUUGUCAUAUCCCUUCUCAUGUCUUUGGCAGCAGCUGGAGGCUUCUUGGCUCUUUUCUUUGCCUGUAUUACAGCCAUUUACAUCGGGGCAUUAUCAGUAGCUGUGGUUGUUAUUUCCACUGCAACAAUUUCAGCAAUCAUAGCCGUUCUGAUAACUACUGGUAGGCCUCUUCCAUCCUGCAUUCUCCUCUUUGUUUUACAUUUUGACCAUUUAUUGUUCACUUUUUCUUCUCCCAUUGCUACAUGGUUUUUUCUUCCUCAAAAUCACUUGAGCUACAAUCAAAUCAUUCCUUUUCUCAAAUUUUCAAAUGUGGUCCUUGAAACUUGUGGCCUUGAAUUCUUGAUUCACUUGCCAAGUUAGUGAACUUUAACUUUUCAUGUUUAUGGGUCUGUCAUGAAAUCUGACUGAAAUAUUUACUAAUUGUGAAGGAUGGAUUGCUAUAGCAGGGGGGUUUGUUUACUAGGCAGUUUGUGUACAAUCUGUUUCUUUAGAGUUGUUAUACAUAUUUGAGCCUGCUGAUAAUUUUUCCUCCAGCUUGUACCACAUGAAUGCUAUGAAUAUGUUUAUUUGUGUUAGAUGUCCAAAAAAUUCUGCAUGGUCUAUUGGUGACCCAAGACACAUAUCUGAGGCUUCUGAUACCUGACCCUACAUCUUGUAUCACUUACCAUUAUCAUAUAUCUGGUUUUUAUUUAUUUAUUUAUUUAUUUUUAUUUGUAUUUCUUUCUUUCUUCCUUAUUUUUGUUUUGUUUUUGUUUUUCGUUUUGUACUCUGUUGGAGCAAGAUAACCUUACACUAUUUGAGAGUUGAAUGUUAUUCCUUAAUGGAGAUGCACGUGAUACUCGUAGGCUACAAAUGGGGUGCUACACUGUUUGUUUGGCCUCCAAAAUGUUAUAUCUGGUGUUUACAUGAGUCUAUCCACACUGAACCAACAGAUCCAUUUGGCUUGCUUUCACAAGUGGUUGGUCGGACACCAAUCUUUAUUUGUGCCUAUCUUACUUAGAGUUUGUUUGGUAGUAAUUUUAGAAAAUGUAAUAGUCUUUCGAAUUUGAAAACAAUUAUUAGAUAAAAAAUUUCAAGUGUUAAAAAGUUAGAAGCGCUUCCUACAAUCAUUGCCAAAUGGGUUAUUACUAUUAGCCAAGGUGCAAUGCAAUGCUUUGCUAUGACGAAAUGAUUGGCAUCUAGACCUCAUUGAACAUAUGGUCAAUGAUGGGAACAUGUAACAGCCGUUACAGCAGAUUGUGCCAGGACAUCCUAUUAAAGCUAUGUUUUUUGUUGAAUUCCUUUACUAUGUGAUGCUCUCGAGUCUUUCGCAGUGGAUUACAUUAACGGUUUGUCAUAUUUCUUAUUCCACUCCUUGAGAUUGACAUUUUUUAUUUGCGAAUCAGGUUGGAUUGGGUUCUUUUGGACUGUGGUUGGUGACAAAGAAAAGUGCAGGAUUUGCUAAGCACUCAUUGGGCAUGACUGGAUCAGCAAUUGCAGCAUACUCUUCUGUUCGGCAUGUUCGGCGCCAUCAUGAUUUCGACAAAAUUUCUGAUUGAAUUGCCAGUGGACAAGAAGUUUGUGUAUGUAGACAAUCUUUCAUGCUUUGAAUGCUUGUACAUGCUUUUGCUUUGCUUAAACCCCAUGACAACGUUGUUACCAUAUAUUUCUUUUUUUUAUGUUGACACCCCUGAAGCAUAAUAAUCUAGUACCAUCAGGCAAUGUCAUGUCUAUACUUUCAGAAGCACAAUCUAGCAUUGUCAGCCAGUAUAAUAAUGGUUUGCAUAUUUUAGCUCUUAUUAUAAUUUCAAAUACAUGGUCCCCUUGCGCAUACGUAUUUUCCUUUUUCCUUUUCUUCAUCUCCAGUAUGUGUUAAUUUAUUUAUGUUUCCGCUUGAUGGGUGAUAUUAAAGAUGUUAGGCUAGAGAUCUCAUUGAUCAUGUUGGUCUGUUUGUCUUUCUGGCGCUCAAACAGUGAUUGCCAGACAUUAAGGUUUGAAUGUUACAUUUUAUGGUUUCAUGGUUGGUGUUUUGAUAAAGUAUUAGCCGUGAAGCUCAAGCUCUAUCAGAGUUUUGAAUUCAGGCUUCAAUCAGAUAUUUUACAUAAGGUCUCCAUUCGAAUUGCUCAUGCCACCCACUGUCAUAGAAAGUAGCGCUGCGGCCGGACUUGGAUUCUCUUUUGGUUUCGACCCUGGCUUGGGCUGCGCUCAGAAUUUAGCCCUUGCCUUAAGCUUUAGAUUUAUUCACCUGAAGUACAAAAAGCUGGGUUUGAUGAUUAAAUCUGUGAUGUCAUGUAUUAGAGAAAGGGCUUUUGGUUAAUUUGAUGGACAAUCAAGUUUAGUUUUUUAUUCUCAAUGUCUUCGUUAUCUUUGGGCAAAAAUUGUGAGAAAGAAACAGUGGCACUAAAGAUUAUGGUCUUAAAUAUAAUGUAAGUAGGAAAAAUUUAUGAAAUGUUUUCACUUUAAUCUCAAAAGUUUUACGAUUUUGUUUUUAAUCUCAAGAGUUUUAUGAUUUUCUUUUUUAAAACUUCUUUCUAUGAAGACUUGUUUUAUUCUUUUCCUCUCCUUGAGAUUGGAAAAUAUUUGCUUCCUCAAAAUUCAAUUAUAAAGUUUAUUCAAUGCUCUGUCGGGGAGUUAAGUACACUUUAGUAUCAUAUAAUAUUAAAUUAAAAUAUAAAUUAAUUAAUUAUUAAUUAAUUAAUUUUCCGAGUCCAUGACCUAUCAUUUCUUGCAUACAGGUUUCUUAUAAAUUGAUAUUUAUAAUCCAACAAGAUAAUCAACCUUUCAAGAUAUCAUAUCUUUAAUCCUUGAGUCAAAUCCACCUAUAUGAUGACCAAUUGAUAUACUCUUGUAACAAAAAACAUGUCAAAUUCUACUUAGGGAAUUAGUAUGAUAAUAUAUUUUUGAUCAUGAAUUGUUAGGAUCAUCAUAGGGACAUACUCUCUUAAACUCAUGAGAUAUCUUGAUGUUCAAGAACAUCUAUUUCUAUCUGCCUAAACUACGUUAAUCUCUAUGGGUAUUAUUUAAUAUGUGAUCAUACAUACUAGUACACUAUGGAAAAUCAUUUUAAUGAUUAAGACAAAUUAUCCAACUAAUUAGAAGGUAGUGCUCUAGGACUUCUAAUAGAAACUUGACAUCUUAUUAAAGGCUAGUUAGGUGAAUUGAAGUUUCAAAUCUUGACCAAAGCAAUGAAUUGAAGUUUCAAAUCUAGACCAAAGGAGGGACCUUUAUUUUGUAUUCUAAUAUGUUUUAAAUUAAAGGGUGAAAGUUUUAAGUACGAGUAGAGGAGAAUUCCAAAGCUCUGCAACCCUUGCCUUGAAGCCAUGUGUUAAUCAUGAAGGUGAAAGAAUAGAAACUCGAAGAAAAGGGAAUCAUCUUCAUGGUGGUUGGAUGAAAUAGAGGCACAACCACCAACUCCUUUUGUUAGCAUACCCUGACUGGAGAAGAUUGAGGAAGGCUAUGCAGACGAGUUAGAAAGCACAAGGGGAUUUGCUAGCAACAAGAGGGAGGAUACAUAGGGAAAGUGGAAGGAUAGAAAGUUGGUUUUUACUUAUGUUAAAAAAAGGCAAGUGACUGAUGGUCUCAUUGUAAUUAUGUUCUUAAUCAGCUUUUGAGAAGGAAGUAUUGAAACUUUAUUUUUCUUAGCCAUUGCAAUUGUUUUUGUUUUUCUAUUUUUAUGCCUGAAAUAUUUUUUAAACUUUUAGAGAUUUGUGGGAGAAUAGGGUUGGCAGUAUUUACACCUUCCUUUCUGGUAUGCUUGCUGCAAAAUUGUGAAAGUUGAAAGAUAAACAGUUUCGGGAGUAUGUUUGAACCUCAUUAGUUGACUUUCACUUCCUCGAUGCAAAAUCCAGGAAAGCUCAAGUAUGUUAAUGCUGUAGCAAAUACUUGCUGCAGUGGUGUGAGAGCCAAGAGCAAAGCAACACUAAGGUGGUGUUUGUUUUUUUACUUAAUUCUAAAUAGAACCUUAAUACUUAAUAGUAUUAAAUAUUAUGUUGUUUGUUUUUUUAGUAUUUUAUUUCUAUUAAGUAUUAAAAACUAAAAAAAACCAUUGUGUUAUUUUUUCUAUUUAGAAAAAGCUACAUAUUUUGGCUUUUUCUAUUUAGUAAAAAGUUUAUAAUAAGUCAUGAAAAAGUAAAAAAACAAACAACCUAAAUUCUAAAACUAAAUGGUUUUUAGUAAAAAGUCAAAAAAACAAACACCACCUAAGAGUGAGUUUAAGCAUUAAAGAAGAACCUGAAGUCUAGUCCUUGAUAUUCAAUCUUGAAUAUCAAACUUAGUACUACAAUGGAAACAAGUUGCAAACCUAUAUUAAUGCAUCAAUAGGCUUAGUAACAUUAGCCUUAAUGGUGUCAAUAUGGUUACAAUUCAGAUGGUUAGAAGGCUAACCUCACACCAAACUUGCCUAUCAAUAUGUUUUUAACUUAAGCCAAAUCUGACUCGAGGUUUGUUUAGGAAUUAUCAAUUUACAGUGUGCCUGCAGGUAACUUGGGUUCGUAUAAGUUUUCACGAGUUUUCAUAGGUUAUCAAACAAAAGACUUGUAAUGAAAUCUUGAGUAAGUAAAAUACUUAUUCAAAGUUAUAACACAUAAAUCAUAUUAUAAAAUAAGAUUGUAGAAGCUAAAUUUGUUUUAAAGCCAUAAAAUAUAUUAUUAAUUAGCCAUAAUAUGUUCGAUUUUGUCAAAUUUUUAAUCUGGGCUCGAUCCAAACCGUUCAUACUUUGUCCAUGCCAGACCGAACUUUGAGUUGGGCUUGGAUUUGGCGAUUUGAACCCAGGGGUCAAGCCCUCUGAUCUAAGCAUUCAAGACUCCAUGGCAUGUUGAUGAGAAUGAGUGCCUCAUGGCUGCAUUAAAUUUCAGGAUAUUUUUCCCACUUCAUGUUACUUUAGGUUAUGUUUGGUUCCCGGAAAAUACUAAGGAAAGAAAAAAAAUGUAAAGGAAAAUGAUUUUUUCAUGUUUGGUUGUCAUAUGAAAAAUAUCAAAGAAAAUCAAAUAUAAUUAAAACCAAUUAAAAACUUAUGUAUUUUUAAAUUAUUUAAUCUUUAUAUUAAUGAGUUAAAAUAAAUAAAAAGAGUUUGAAGUAACAAAAAAAAUAAUUUAUCAACUUUUAAUCAAUUUUUUUAUUUUCUUUCACUUUUUCUUUUCUUCUACUUUUCUUUUGUAUUUUCUUUCCCUUGCAUUUUCCUUCAAAUUUUUUGGGAACCAAACAUAGCCAUAAGCAUUUUAAGAGUUAAAAAUUGGAGGGCUCUGAAAAUUUUCCUUUGCUUGGCAUGUGGCACCAAUCCAGCUAAACAAUGGCCUAACCCAUAUCUUGAUAAGGAUAAAAUUAUGUCAAAGAUAAAAUAGUUCAGGGGUCAAAAUGGAAAAAUAACAAGAUAAAACAAUAGUUACCAAGAUCCGACUUUAUACCCAUAAAUACGCUUCUAUUAAUAAAAAGGAAGACCAACUGCAAAAUAGGGAAGAAUAAGCUCAAUAUAUCUAUAUAUCUUUUAUGUUAUGUUUGAUUUAUGAAAAAUAUUAAAAAAAAAAUUUAUAAUAUUUGGAUAUCAUAAAGGUGAGAAAAAAAUAACUCGAGAAAAUAAAGGAAAAAAAAUGUCAAAAGAUUUUUCUUCUAUAAUUUUUUUAGAUAAAUGUGAAAAAAGUUCAAAGAAAAUACACUCUUAACCGAUAUUUUCAGGAGACAACUGUUUUUUAGGCAAAAAACUUAGAGUACUCAUUUGAUAAUCAAAAAUUGUUUUUUAUUUUUCUGUUCAUAAGAAUAUAAAAUAUGUUGUUUUUAGACAAUAUCUUUUAAUUAUUUUAUAUUGUUUUAAUUUUUUUUAUGGCUAUUUCAAAAAAUAAUUAUAAAAUAUGUUGUUUUUAGACAAUAUCUUUUAAUUAUUUUAUAUUGUUUUAAUUUUUUUUAUGGCUAUUUCAGAAAAUAAUUAUACAAAUAUUUAUAAUGAUUAAAAAUAAAAUACUACACAAAAAAAUUAUUUUAAAAACAUAUUUAAAAAUAUGUUAAAAAUAUUUUAGGUUUUCAAAUAAACUUUUGUUUUACAAAACAUUAAAUAACCGUUUUCAAAAACUAUUCUAAAAAACUUUCUUUUUAAAAAAUUGUUUUCGAAAACAGUUACCAAAAAGAUCCCAAUUUUCUUUCUCUCAACUUUUUAAUGGACAACUAAAUAAAAGAAAAUUUUUAAAAUUUUCUUUGCCUAUAUAUAUAUAUAUAUAUAUAUAUCUUUUAAAUUUUCUUUUCUUUCCUUCAAAUAGACAUAGCUUUAAAAGCUUUAAAAAUUUUCCUCUCCUCUUAAUACUAUCAAGCAUUAGAUGGAAAGGACACCUUGUGGGCUUUGGUAUGGUUAUAGCCCAUGCUGCCCAGCUAGAUUGGACACUUCAAUAUAACCCAAACUCAAAUUCUAGUAAGCUUAAAAAUUUUGGCUCCAAAUUAACGCUACCUAACAUCAUUACAAAAAGCCUCAACGAAGUCAAUCCAUUAACUCUUAACCAUUCUGAAAUAAAAUGACUUAAUAUGGGACUCUAAUCUAAAAAAAAUUGCUUCCCAUCUUGCUAAUUUUUUUUUCAAAAUAUCAUAAAUUUGAUCGUUUCUGCAUAACAUGUACUUACUUCAAUACUGAACUUCUAAGCAAAUAAGAUUCAAAAAUUUUAACCCCACCCUAGCAUUUUUUCUUCGUACUUUAAAGGCGAAAGUAAUCAGCCCUCAAGCUACAUAAUGAAUUAUGCUACAAUCAUAUGAGUUGACCCCAAAAAAUACAAUCAUUCCAAGCUUGUGUGACAAUUAACUCACAUCUAAAUGAUGGCAGCUGGUUUGACAUAAAGUUCUCCACUAAAUUAAUCAAUGCUGAAAGUAUCUAAAAUGAUACAUGUUCAUGCGCUUUGAUGGAAAUAUUCACAAUCAAUCGCUAUCCUAUUUGAGUGAGGUUUGGAGAAAUAAUAUAAUGAUUUGAUUGUUUACAGUUUAGAAGAAUACCUUUUGUCAUACAUAGUCCAAUGAAGAUCAUGGCCAUAGCCAUAGCCACAGGAAGAAAGAUUUAACCAUAUAUGAACUCAAUAAACCACCAAUAAUUCCAUAUUCAUUUUCCUUUUCUUGUCACCUCUUUCUCUCUUGUUUUUCACGUGUACAACCACAUCAACUCUAAUGGAAGCGUAGCUUUAGCCACUCAUAGCAUCCCCAGAAGGGAUAAUACAUAAAUACAAAAGACACUUAUCAUUCACAAAUCUAGAAGAAUUAUGGCUGCUUCUUCCUCACCAACACUUCUUUAUAAAUAUCUUCCUUCUUAUCGUUCAUGAAGACAAUGAAGCAAUCCCAGAAUGCAAAAUCAAAAAUCAAGGAAGCCAGAUGUAUCGUAUCAGUCAUGCUCUUUUCCAUGCCAAUCCGGUCUGCCUAGCGUGAACUCCAAGCUCGGGUUUUUACAAUCCAGAUUAGGCCCUAGGUAGUCUUUCAGUAGAGUUGAAUUGCAUUCCUGUAACAUUUGGAAAUUUUGGUUCUCUUGCCAUCCAAAGUUGCUUAUGCAAUAUUAAAAUUAAGGAUGGUGUGGGAAGGCUUAAAUCAAUACCUCUAUUUGAUGUCCCGAUCUUUGUUGUGACGGAAAAGAUGCUGUUUUGAGCCCAUCCAUCUCACUAGAGUUUUGCUGCAACCAAGCUUCUCUACUGCUAAAAAAUUCAUAAAAUAUGGAGUCAGUCUUAACUUGUUUGCCUAUCAUAAAAAUUCACACAAAUGGUGUUAUAUAUAUACAACAUUACUCCUAUGAUUCACACAAUCUGAUAUCUCGUCCUAGAUCUGCUGAAUCAAACUACUGUGAAUCCUUUUUAUGGGUCUAGGAAAAGAGAUUGAAGGACAAAUUAAGAAACCCCUUCAUGUCCCAAAAAGAGCAACAAGUUACACCAUAGAGGGCCAAGUGAAGAGGCUCCUAAAGGCCGUAACAUAAAAUAAUGAAAAGCUAUGGCCCUAUUCGAAUAUUGUAGUCAUGCCAAUGAAUUUCUGAUGAGUCAGCUUUAUAAACCAGAGAUGGAGAGAUUCAUUAUCCCAUAUGUAAGUGAUCCAAUUACAUGCUUUCAUAUAGAAUAUAUAGAAUUUGAACUGGGACUUAUUUACACAUCUAAAAGAAAAUAAUGAAGAAACUUUUCUACUAAGAUUGAGUUCAAUAGCCACAGCUGUCUAACGAGAACUCCGAGCUUGGGUUUUUACAAUCAAAACUCUGUCACAAUAAAAAAAAAAAAUGUAAUUUUUAUAACAUAAAUUCCUUUAGAACUAUCCAGGUUAAUAGCCACUGCUGUCAGGUACUAAAUGAGACUUCUAGCAUUGCAAAAACAAGGAAAAGAAAGACAUAAAGAGGACUUCAUGUAAGGAUUUAUCUAGCUGGUUUCAAUGUAACACUAAUUAUGGGCUCUUUUAAAGUAAAAACGGUAUGGAAAUAUACCCUAUCAUAGAAAUAUGGUUUAGUCUCAAUUACAGGAAGAAGUGAUCUUUAUGGAUCAUUGGGAUAUGGUGCAAAAUAAGUAGCUCAAAGUUAUUUGUACAAUUCAUGUGCUUUGGGGAUCCAUAAGGUUUUAGUACAGAUCUUGUUCAUGUUUCCUAAUUUUAAUUGAAGAACUGAGGGGAAAUACUUUCUUCAGGGUUUUCUAUAGAUAGGCUAUAACCUCUAUGGACCAAAAAUCUUUAUACUUGUAUAAGGGUCUGAGAGCUAGUGCCUAGUUCUUCGAAAGCUGCCUAGGGAAGGAGCAAGAGAGAGUUAAACUACUGCAUCUUAAGAUAGAAUUAUGACAUUUACUUGAAAUAUCUUAAACUAUUGCAGGGUUUGAAGUUCUCAUUACUUGUCAAUCACCCAGAUGUAUCUAUAUCGUAGUUGGAAGGUACACAUCGUACUGUUUUUGUUCCCAGCAUAUAGAUGAAAUACUAUAAGCAACCAAACGUAAAGAAAUCAAAUUACAGUUUAUGCUUAUUUAAUACUUCUAUAAUUGAAAUAUUUCACUCUCAACCCUCAAUAUCCAUAUGCCCAAAUCAUUGAUUUAUUAAUUAUAUGCAGUCCAGACAGUAACUUCUAAAGCUACUAGGACAUAUUGUUAAGAUUCAAUGGUGGCAACUUGUUUUAAUAAAGUUAAUUAGCUAGGUUUGGGCCACUCAUAAAGUCCUAUAUAUUUGUUACAAUGAAUAAUGAAAACUAUGUCUGGAAGACAUUUUGAUAUGAUCACCCCUAAAAAACAUCUAAGUAACCCUUUUCCCAAACAAUGGAGUUUGAGUUGAAGUUGAAUUUGGUUUCAAGAAAGGAAUUUUCUUGUAAAAUUUCAGAAAACGUUGGGAUUUAAAGGGAUUCAAGAAAAGAAAUAUAAUUACCUUUUGUGGCAUGGGAGUUAAUUAGCCCAUAUUUCAAUGGAGAGAUAAUUAAAAGAUUGAGAGCAUAAACAAUAAUAUUUCUUCUUUCUCCUCAUUUUGGAGACCCUGGAACUGGAGUAAACUAUUAGGAAGAAACUCUUAGAAGGAAAUUAAGGGCUUGUUUGACCGUGGAAGUGACUGUUGUUUUCUAUCUCCAAAAUGAAAGGAAUAUGAUAGAGAAAACCCACUCCACAUUGUUUGAUUACUUGCCGUAGAUGGGACUUCCUCUUGGACGUGGGUUCAAUAAAGGAGCGAUAAACAAAAAAAAGAAAAAGAAAAAAGAAAAAAAAGGGAGAUUCAAAACCAAGUCUUUAGGGCUCAUAGCUCUGAUGACAUUUUGAGCAACAUUUUAUCCAUAAGCUUGAACUUCUGGGAAAUGAGUUGAUGACGUAUAUCAAGUUUGUAAUACUUGAUAGAACAAAGUUGGUGGUAUUUUCCAUAUGUAGAGUUUAUAGCUUCUUAUAUAGUGAUUAAAUUUUUUGAUACCAUCUGAAGACUGAUAAAACUCUAGCGCUAACAGAAAUAGAACAGGUAAGGAUAGAAUAACAUUCAAUCUGUAUUAGACAAGUUGAAACCUAAUCUGUUGUUGCAUAUGAGGUAUAAGAUGAAGGGCAGGCGUCUUAACUUAUGGUAUAUAUGAGAUUUCAUACAAAACCUUUUGGUAGGACAUAUAAUGGUUAUGGCAUAAUAUGAUCAUAUUAAGGAUGCAUGUCUCAGUACACUUCUUAUUUUGUCAGAUCAUGAUACUAAUUUCUUCUGUUUUGGCUGCAAACAUGUAGCCACUAAAAGCAUUUCCAAAUCUAGAGUCUUGGUACAGAAAUGUACAGAGUGUAACUUUUAUCCGGUAUUAACAUUCAAAUUCAAUCAAGUGACAGAAUAUAAGAAGUUUAUAAUGUUUGAGCCUAGCGUCAAAUUUGCGAAAGUCUAAAUUGAAAGUUCAAAUAGAAAUCUGGGUCACAACUCAAAAAAUCUAUUCUAAAGAAUAACUGGUUUUCUAGUUCUAAUUUGGUUCAAUGGAGGAAAAGAUUUGCUCCUUAAGGUUUUCUAUACAUUGUUAAGGUAUAUGGUUUGUCCAAAAGGAACAUGAAAGAAAGAUGAGGAUAUACCUAAAAGCACAUAUAUUUGCAACACUUGAUUCCGAAGUAUUGAAGUUUGUAUCAUUCAUUGACAACCCUCACAAUCAUACUUAAACCCUAGUUAGAAUUUGAUUUCGUAGUAGGUUUUGCAGUGUUCCAUAGUUUUGUAGAAUGUAAACCAAGCAUAGUAUAUAAAAGGCUUGUAAUUUACAGCAACAGUCGAUGGGAAUACAGAAGAGUUCCCAUAUAUUCAGAAAUUUGCAGCUUACCAAGAAAACUUCUAAACUAUUAAAAGUGAGAUCACUGCAAUGUUGUAAACUCUCAAGCCAUUCAAAGCUAAUUAGAGAACCUUAUGCAUGUUUCUAAAACAACCAUUAUCACAACAUAAAUUCCAUUGAUACAACAAGCUUACCUAGAGGAAU
rnacentral:lncRNA from 1 species